rnacentral:lncRNA from 1 species
GUUCACAUACAGAAUGAAGGCUAUUAGAACAGAGAGGAGGAGGAGUUCACACACAGAAUGAAGGCUAUUAGAACAGAGAGGAGGAGGGGUUCACACACAGAAUGAAGGCUAUUAGAACGGAGAGGAGAGGAGGGGUUCACACACAAAAUGAAGGCUAUUAGAACGGAGAGGAAAAGGAGGGGUUCACACACACAGAACGAAGGCUAGUAGAACGGAGAGGAGGAGGAGGGAUUCACACACAAUGAAGGCUAUAGGAAUGAAGGCUAUAGGAACGGAGAGGAAAAGGAGGGGUUCACACACACAGAAUGAAGGCUAUUAGAAUGGAGAAGAGGAGGAGGGAUUCACACACAGAAUGAAGGCUAUAGGAACGGAGAGGAGGAGGGAUUCACACACAGAAUGAAGGCUAUUAGAACGGAGAGGAGGAGGAGGGGUUCCCACACCGAAUGAAGGCUAUUAGAACGGAGAGGAGGAGGGAUUCACACACAGAAUGAAGGCUAUUAGAACGGAGAGGAGGAGGAGGAGGGAUUCACACAGAAUGAAGGCUAUAGGAACGGAGAGGAGGAGGGAUUCACAUACAGAAUGAAGGCUAUUAGAACAGAGAGGAGGAGGGAUUCACACACAGAAUGAAGGCUAUAGGAAUGGAGAGGAGGAGGGGUUCACACACAGAAUGAAGGCUAUAGAAACGGAGAGGAGGAGGGAUUCACAUACAGAAUGAAGGCUAUUAGAACAGAGAGGAGGAGGGAUUCACACACAGAAUGAAGGCUAUAGAAACGGAGAGGAGGAGGGAUUCACACACAGAAUGAAGGCUAUAGGAACGGAGAGGAGGAGGGGUUCACACACAGAAUGAAGGCUAUUAGAACGGAGAGGAGGAGGGAUUCACACACAGAAUGAAGGCUAUUAGAACGGAGAGGUUCACACACAGAAUGAAGGCUAUUAGAACGGAGAGGAGGAGGGAUUCACACACAGAAUGAAGGCUAUAGGAACGGAGAGGAGGAGGGAUUCACAUACAGAAUGAAGGCUAUAGGAAUGGAGAGGAGGAGGGGUUCACACACAGAAUGAAGGCUAUAGAAACGGAGAGGAGGAGGGAUUCACACACAGAAUGAAAGCUAUUAGAACAGAGAGGAGGAGGGAUUCACACACAGAAUGAAGGCUAUAGGAACGGAGAGGAGGAGGGGUUCACACACAGAAUGAAGGCUAUUAGAACGGAGAGGAGGAGGGAUUCACACACAGAAUGAAGGCUAUAGGAACGGAGAGGAGGAGGGGUUCACACACAGAAUGAAGGCUAUAGGAAUGGAGAGGAGGAGGGGUUCACACACAGAAUGAAGGCUAUAGGAAUGGAGAGGAGGAGGGGUUCACAAACAGAAUGAAGGCUAUUAGAACAGAGAGGUUCACACACAGAAUGAAGGCUAUUAGAACGGAGAGGAGGAGGGAUUCACA